CCUACGGGAGGCAGCAGUGGGGAAUUUUGGACAAUGGGCGCAAGCCUGAUCCAGCCAUGCCGCGUGAGUGAAGAAGGCCUUCGGGUUGUAAAGCUCUUUCGGCUGGGAAGAAAUCGCAUCUCCUAAUACGGGGUGUGGAUGACGGUACCAGCAUAAGAAGCACCGGCUAACUACGUGCCAGCAGCCGCGGUAAUACGUAGGGUGCGAGCGUUAAUCGGAAUUACUGGGCGUAAAGCGUGCGCAGGCGGUUUCGUAAGACAGAGGUGAAAUCCCCGGGCUCAACCUGGGAACUGCCUUUGUGACUGCGAGGCUAGAGUAUGGCAGAGGGGGGUGGAAUUCCACGUGUAGCAGUGAAAUGCGUAGAGAUGUGGAGGAACACCGAUGGCGAAGGCAGCCCCCUGGGCCAAUACUGACGCUCAUGCACGAAAGCGUGGGGAGCAAACAGGAUUAGAUACCCUGGUAGUCCACGCCGUAAACGAUGUCGACUUGGAGGUUGUGCCCUUGAGGCGUGGCUUCCGGAGCUAACGCGUUAAGUCGACCGCCUGGGGAGUACGGCCGCAAGGUUAAAACUCAAAUGAAUUGACGG
rnacentral:rRNA from 1 species